rnacentral:rRNA from 1 species
UACGUAGGGGGCAAGCGUUGUCCGGAAUUAUUGGGCGUAAAGAGCGCGUAGGCGGUCCGAUAAGUCGGCUGUGAAAGUCCAGGGCUCAACCCUGGAAAGCCGGCCGAUACUGUCGGACUAGAGUCCGGAAGAGGCAAGUGGAAUUCCCGGUGUAGCGGUGAAAUGCGCAGAUAUCGGGAGGAACACCAAUGGCGAAGGCAGCUUGCUGGGACGGUACUGACGCUGAGGCGCGAAAGCUAGGGUAGCAAACGGG